GACGAACGCUGGCGGCGUGCUUAACACAUGCAAGUCGAACGAUGAAGGAGGAGCUUGCUCCUCUGGAUUAGUGGCGAACGGGUGAGUAACACGUGAGCAAUCUGCCCUUGACUCUGGGAUAAGCGUUGGAAACGGCGUCUAAUACCGGAUACGACCCUCGGAGGCAUCUCCUGUGGGUGGAAAGAACUUCGGUCAAGGAUGAGCUCGCGGCCUAUCAGCUUGUUGGUGAGGUAAUGGCUCACCAAGGCGACGACGGGUAGCCAGCGUGAGAGGGGGACCGGCAACACUGGGAGUGAGACACGGCACAGACUCCUACGGGGGGGAGCAGUGGGGAAUAAUGCACAAUGGGCGCAAGCCUGACGCAGCAACGCCGCGUGAGGGACGACGGCCUUCGGGUUGUAAACCACUUUUAGCAGGGAAGAAGCGAGAGUGACGGUACCUGCAGAAAAAGCACCGGCUAACUACGUGCCAGCAGCCGCCGUAACAC
rnacentral:rRNA from 1 species